CGCCAGACUCCUACGGGAGGCAGCAGUGGGGGAUAUUGCACAAUGGGGGGAACCCUGAUGCAGCGACGCCGCGUGGGUGAAGGAGCGUUUCGGCGCGUAAAGCCCUAUCGGCAGGGAAGAAAGAGGACGGUACCUGACUAAGAAGCCCCGGCUAACUACGUGCCAGCAGCCGCGGGAAUACGUAGGGGGCAAGCGUUAUCCGGAUUUACUGGGUGUAAAGGGGGCGCAGACGGCAGCGCAAGCCAGGAGUGAAAGCCCGGGACCCAACCCCGGGACUGCUCUUGGAACUGCGCGGCUGGAGUGCAGGAGGGGCAGGCGGAAUUCCUGGUGUAGCGGUGAAAUGCGUAGAUAUCAGGAGGAACACCGGUGGCGAAGGCGGCCUGCUGGACUGCGACUGACGUUGAGGCCCGAAAGCGUGGGGAGCAAAUAGGAUUAGAUACCCCUGUAACA
rnacentral:rRNA from 1 species